UACCAACAAUACAUAUAACAAUAACACCGGGGCCAAAAUUUACCAACGCAUUCACCUCUAAUGGAUUUCUCAGUGAUGCAACUCAAACUGCAAAGGCUAUCACUUAAGCAAAGCCCAGUUCUCGUUUUGCUUCGAUUCCUACACACCUUCAUACCCUUCUCCGCUGAGCCUUCAAGCUUCUGAUCAGCAUAUAUUUCUGUACAUUUGUCAUUCAUCAAAAUAAGUUAAAUAGAGCGUGAAUUAAGAGAAAUUAGGAAGAUA
rnacentral:lncRNA from 1 species